CGCCUCUUGUCUUAAAUAAGAGGUCUAGCCUGCCCAGUGACUCUAGUUCAACGGCCGCGGUAUACUGACCGUGCAAAGGUAGCGUAAUCACUUGUUUUUUAAAUGAAGACUAGUAUGAAAGGCACCACGAGGAUCAAACUGUCUCCUUUUUCUAAUCUGUGAAACUAAUCUUCCCGUGAAAAAACGGGAAUCUUGAUAUAAGACGAGAAGACCCUAUGGAGCUUCAAACUAUAGUAACUGCUUUAUAAUAUUUUGUACAUCUUUACUGUACGUUUUGGGUUGGGGUGACCGCGGAGUAAAACUUACCCUCCAUGCUGAAAAGAGACCUCCUUUAAACAAAGAGCUUCAACUCGAUGCAUCAACAAAUUGACAGCAAUUGACCCAUUUUUGAUCAACGAAACAAGUUACCCUAGGGAUAACAGCGCAAUCCACUUUGAAAGCCCCUAUCGACAAGUGGGUUUACGACCUCGAUGUUGGAUCAGGAUAUCCAAGUGGUGCAGCCGCUACUAAAGGUUCGUUUGUUCAACGAUUUAAAUCCUACGUGAUCUGAGU
rnacentral:rRNA from 1 species